CAUUGCUACAUACUUCUAUAAGGUAUUAAUUGUUUAGUAAUAAUUAUAUAGUUGUCUUUUGCUCAGAAAUCCAGUAAUUAUACUUCUAUAUGCUGUUACUUCCAUAAAGCGAUAAAAUGCACUAUUUCAAUCAUGAGUGUUCCAAUCCCUCCUCCCUCUUCACUUCUUCUUUUAUUUCUUUUUAGAACUAGAACUUUUUUUGCCUAAGGGGCUAUGAU
rnacentral:misc_RNA from 1 species